rnacentral:rRNA from 1 species
UUUUCGCAAUGCCCGAAAGGGUGACGAAGCGACGCCGCGUGGGUGAAGAAGGCCUUCGGGUUGUAAAACCCUGUCAGGAGUUAUGAAAUGUAAGUACGCUAAUAUCGUGCUUAUUUGACAAAGGCUCCAAAGGAAGCCACGGCUAACUCUGUGCCAGCAGCCGCGGUAAUACAGAGGUGGCGAGCGUUGUUCGGAAUUAUUGGGCGUAAAGAGCACGUAGGUGGGUUUGCAAGUCAGAUGUGAAAGCCUUCUGUUCAACGGAAGAAUUGCAUCUGAAACUGCUAAUCUUGAGUAUAGGAGGGGAGAAUGGAACUUCUGGUGGAGCGGUGAAAUGCGUAGAUAUCAGAAGGAACGCCGGCGGCGAAAGCGAUUCUCUGGCCUAUUACUGACACUCAGUGUGCGAAAGCUAGGGGAGCAAACGGGAUUAGAUACCCCGGUAGUCCUAGCCGUAAACGAUGGGCACUAAGUAGAGGGGUUUUAAUC